CGGCCCGCACCCCACCCCCACCCCCACCCCGGGGGAGCCCGCAUCCGGCCGGCCGGCCCGCCGGGGGGCGCGUUGGCCCGUGGCCCGGCGCCGGGCCGGAGGAGGCGGGUGCACGAGAGCUCCUGCGCUGGCAGGACAAGCCCAGCCCGGCGACAACAGGUGCUCGAAAUUUCCAUGAGUAUCUAGAUGCCAGAGAAUGUCAGCUGUGAACAUCAAAAGCCCUGUUACAUUACAGCGCAGAUGGGAGGAAUGCCAACUAAACUGCCCUUAUGCCCUCUUCUCUGCUGGGUUGAACUGCCUUUCAAGGAGAAAGGGUAGUUCGGUCUGCCUCUGUUUCUUCAGUCCUGUACAAAGACUGUUGGGAGGAGUUGAUAACUAGUUCCAGUGCCUACGUUUCAUGCUGUGGAUGGCAAUCAACAAGGUACCAACCAGACCUUCAGAUGAUGAUACCACUGAGCAGCCAUGAGAUGACUGCACUUUACCAUCACUACUGAACUGGGCUACAAUGCACUGAGUCAUGAACUAAAAGACUGAAUUCUGUUAGCAGUCCCUAAGCCCUCCCAGUCAGAGUAGUACUCAUUCUCUCACUUUCACCAGUAUAGAUCUGGAGCAAUUCCUAUUCAAAGGAUUUGUUUAAAUGCCGCACUUUUUAAGAAAUUAGAAUGUGCUUUUACACAUCAGCAGCAGCUGCCACUUCAGGGAGAAAAAAAGCCUUUUUUUUGGUUUGCUUUGUGCAUUAACCAGAAAAAGACACACUUGGUUUAAUCCAGAACAUCCAAUAAACCUAUCUCACUGUGUGAGAUAGUUUGAAUUGGUGACAGCAAAGUAAAACAGAAUAGAAGAUCAUUCAAAUAUUCUUAGAUGAUUUCUCCAUUUUGUAAGGGGUUGUCUUCACAAGUGAAAUCUACUUCCAUAACAAUUGCAAAGUAAAGUAUUCAACCAUGGCUGGC